GGCGCUUUUAUCUCAUUACUUUGAGAGCCAUCACCAGCGACUAUGUCGUAUGGGUAAAGCGCUUAUUUAUCGGAGAAACCGAUAAAUAAGAAGCAUCAAAGUCCUGCAGCAGAAAAUCAAA
rnacentral:misc_RNA from 1 species